UACACAUGAUGAGCUUCACUUCAUUGGUCCGUGUUUCUGAAACUAAUGAUUGCCAAGAAGUUCUGAUGAA